rnacentral:rRNA from 1 species
GGCUUAUUGAUAAUAAUUUUAGGUCGGGCCUGCCCAAUGAGUGAAAUGCUUUAAUGGCCGCGGUAUUUUGACCGUGCAAAGGUAGCAUAAUCAUUAGUUUUUUAAUUGAGAGCUUGAAUGAAGGGUUUGAUGAGAAAAUUUCUGUCUCUGUUUAAAUUUUUUAGAAUUUUAUUUUUAAGUAAAAAAGCUUAAAUGAAAGUUGAAGACGAGAAGACCCUAUAGAGUUUUAUAAUUUAUAAGAUAAGUAAAAAUUUAGUAUUUGGAUUUAUUUAUUUGUUUAAUUAUUUAAUUGGGGUGAUUGAAAAAUUAGUUAAACUUUUUUUAUAUAUAAACAUUUAUUUAUGAAUAUAUGAUCCUUAAGUAAAGAUUAUAAGAUUAAAUUACCUUAGGGAUAACAGCGUAAUUUUUUUUGAGAGUUCAGAUCGGAAAAAAAGAUUGCGACCUCGAUGUUGGAUUAAAAUAAAUUAUUGGUGUAGAAGCUAGUAGGUUAGGUCUGUUCGACCUUUAAUAUUUUACAUGAUCUGAGUUUAAACCGGUGUAAG